AUUAAUAAAAUUAGAGUCCAAAUGUUUAUUUAAAAUGGCUUUGGACCAUAAUAAUCAACAAGACCAACCAAUUAAUAUUAUACAAACUUGGGCUUACAACCAAUUGAGCCCAAAACAAAUUUAAUUAAAUGGUGGGAGCCCAAUCCAUUCCAAAAAUGUGGGAACAAGCCCAACACCUUUUCUUCUUCUUUCUUUUCUCUCCCUCUCGGCCGAUCACUCCACCAUGGAAACCCUCCACCUUCAACUCUUCCACCUUUCUCAUUCAUUCCUACAACCAAAAGACACACCAUUUAAACACAUCUGCCCUUUCACUUCUCUUCUCAUAUUACACUUACAACAAGAACAAAGAGAGAAAGAGAGCCGAGAGAGUGCCGAGAGAAGGGGAUGAAGAAGAAGUUGCUUCCAUUUUGUUUCAACACCCCAGUUUACGUCACAAGGUUGAGCGUGGACGGGAGACGGAGGAUGUUGAGCAUUGGACCGAGACCAUAUUCAAUAAACGUUCCGGUUGCUAUUGUGUCUUCAUACAUAGUAGUAGCUAACUCUCAAAUGCUUCCGCUACGUCAAGUUUUAGAACUCUGAUGUUAUCUUUAUUCUGUUGGACUAUUUUUCCUACGAACUUUGUUGCUUCGUUAUUUCAGACUAUAGUUUGGUAAUAAAGUUUCAUCUCUUGAUCUACA